rnacentral:rRNA from 1 species
AUUGAACGCUGGCGGCAUGCUUUACACAUGCAAGUCGAACGGUAACAGCACUUCGGUGGCUGACGAGUGGCGAACGGGUGAGUAAUACAUCGGAACGUGCCUAGUAGUGGGGGAUAACUACUCGAAAGAGUAGCUAAUACCGCAUGAGAUCUAAGGAUGAAAGCAGGGGACCUUCGGGCCUUGCGCUACUAGAGCGGCUGAUGGCAGAUUAGGUAGUUGGUGGGAUAAAAGCUUACCAAGCCGACGAUCUGUAGCUGGUCUGAGAGGACGACCAGCCACACUGGGACUGAGACACGGCCCAGACUCCUACGGGAGGCAGCAGUGGGGAAUUUUGGACAAUGGGCGCAAGCCUGAUCCAGCAAUGCCGCGUGCAGGAUGAAGGCCUUCGGGCUGUAAACUGCUUUUGUACGGAACGAAAAGCCCUCUUCUAAUACAGGAGGGUCAUGACGGUACCGUAAGAAUAAGCACCGGCUAACUACGUG